UACAGAGGGUGCUAGCGUUGUUCGGAAUCAUUGGGCGUAAAGGGCGUGUAGGCGGUUUGUUAAGUCAUGUGUGAAAUCCCUCGGCUCAACCGGGGAACGACGCAUGAAACUGGCAAGCUAGAGUACCAAAGAGGGGGGUGGAAUUCCCGGUGUAGCGGUGAAAUGCGUAGAUAUCGGAAGGAACACCGGUGGCGAAAGCGGCGCGCUGGAUCUCUUCUGACGCUGAGGCGCGAAAGCCAGGGGAGCGAACGGG
rnacentral:rRNA from 1 species